rnacentral:lncRNA from 1 species
UGUCUUGUGAUUCAUAGUUUUAGACAUAUAUUAUCAAGACUAUCUUAAUAAUGGUUUCGAAAACCCAUAUUAUGUCCAAACAUUGAAUCACCAUUUAGUUGUAGCUAGCAUUCUUCGAAUUAAUUGAAACUAAGACUACGUCAAAAUUGGUUCCUUCAAAGUCAACCAAUCUCUUUGAUUGUAGUCACCUUAAGCUACCAAUUAGCUUAUAAAGGUUUCAUUAUUUCGGGUCAAAUGGUACUUUACCAUUUCCUUGAGUAUAUAUCAUAUAUACACUCAAUGUAGUCAUAAGGAUUUUCAUUCUUAUUUCUUUCGAAUUAAGAGGUGCAACUCUAUGACAUAGUCAUAAAGUUCAAACCAUUCAACUGAGACGGUUUAUAAAUCCUUAUCGACUACCUUGGAGCUUUUGGUAUAGGAACUAGGUUGUUUAUAUGUUGAUUACUUUCUUGUCUCUCAAAGAACCCAUUCUUUGAGUUCUAUCUCUCGUUCAUUUGCUCUUAGGCAAAUCACAUUGUAUGAUUACAAUGAACUACCCAACAAAACAACAUUUGUUAAUUGGUUUAUAGAAGCGAUAUCCAAAAGUUAAUUUAAGGAUAUCCCACAAGAUUGUUAUCAAACAAAUAUUGCUUAUUAGCACACAACCCCAAAUCUUAACAUGCUUGAGACUUGUCUUUCUUUCCAACUAGAUCUUAUGGAGUCAUGAAAAUUUUUGGAAGAUCUUCUAAUUGACAAUCAUAUUGUCUUAGAAGGAUAUAUCCUAUAUAUGGGUAAUAGAUAACAACCAACGAACUAAAUCUUAUUCGAGUUCGUUCUUCUCUUAAUGGAGAAAUUCAUUAUCUUAUGAUGCUAUUUUCCUUGAUAUCUUUCAAGGAAACUCAUCUAAAGUGUUACCUUUCCUUGGAUCAAAUCUAAGGAGGUAAAUACUUUAGAUGUCUUACUCAUCAACUUACAUUUCUUGAAUUCUUUGAAACCUUUUGCAAAGUAUUCGGACUUGUGUUUAUUCAAAAUAAACUAUAGUCCAACCGAGAGUGAUCUUCGGUGAAUGUCAUCCAACAUGAGUAGUAUUAUGUUGUGAACAAGUGCCACUAACAUCUAAGUGAAUUAACCUCAACAACUUUGUGAUUCUUUCUUCUUUCCAAAAGAAUAAAGAUUCGAACAUUUCGCCUCUAUACAAUUUUAACAAGAAGGUAUUGGAUCCGGAUCUAACAAUCCAAAGCAUCCAUUUAUUACCAACUCGUAAUUUAUGUUUUUAGAGGAAUCACAACUUAGUUGGGAUUAGUCACUACCUUGCAACCUUUUGGGUUUUAAGCAUCGUUGUAUUCUAAACAGUUAACACUACCAUAUCAUCUCUACUAUAGAGAUAAUUGAUUAGAUUACAAUAAUCUAAUCAUUCAUUAAUAAAGAACAUUGUUUUGUCAAACAAAACAUUUAUCCAUUUCACAUAGUGAAGGAAUUUAGUUCCUUAAAAUUGGAAUAUAAAGACAAUCUAUGUUUUUCCAAUUUCUUUGGUAGUUCAUAUGAGGAAGUAAGUACCAUCUGCUUUCGCAGAGAUCUACAUUUGAUUCACGUUCCGAAUGUGAAGCACCUUUUCUUUCUCUCAUAUAUCUUCUACUUCUUAUUAGUCACACUUUUACAACGAUUGUAAAACAUAGUUACUAAUACGGAAUCAAGCAUUCAAGUAGAAGAACCAACUGUUUUGAACUAUUCAAGAACAAUUUACAACACCUUCGAAAAGGUGUGUUCUUGACACUUGCAAGACAUUUCUUGCAAAUAC